rnacentral:rRNA from 1 species
CUGCUGCCUCCCGUAGGAGUCUGGUCCGUGUCUCAGUACCAGUGUGGGGGACCUUCCUCUCAGAACCCCUAGACAUCGUCGCCUUGGUGGGCCGUUGCCCCGCCAACUAGCUAAUGUCACGCAUGCCCAUCCGUUGCCGGAAUCGCUCCCUUUGGCCGCAGGGCCAUGCAGCCCCGCGGCGUUACGCGGUAUUAGACGGGAUUUCUCCCGAUUAUCCCCCUGCAACGGGCAGGUCGCAUACGCGUUACCCACCCGUGCGCCGG